rnacentral:rRNA from 1 species
GGUUAAGCGACUAAGCGUACACGGUGGAUGCCCUGGCAGUCAGAGGCGAUGAAGGACGUGCUAAUCUGCGAAAAGCGACGGCGAGGUGAUAUGAACCUUUGACCCGU